UUCCCAAGAAACCAUUGAGGAGC
rnacentral:siRNA from 1 species